AGCGAACGCUGGCGGCAGGCCUAACACAUGCAAGUCGAACGAAGCCUUCGGGCUUAGUGGCGGACGGGUGAGUAACACGUGGGAACGUACCUUUUGGUUCGGAACAACUCAGGGAAACUUGAGCUAAUACCGGAUGAGCCCUUAGGGGGAAAGAUUUAUCGCCGAAAGAGCGGCCCGCGUUAGAUUAGCUAGUUGGUGAGGUAAAGGCUCACCAAGGCAACGAUCUAUAGCUGGUCUGAGAGGAUGAUCAGCCACACUGGGACUGAGACACGGCCCAGACUCCUGCGGGGGGCAGCAGUGGGGAAUCUUGCGCAAUGGGCGAAAGCCUGACGCAGCCAUGCCGCGUGAAUGAUGAAGGUCUUAGGAUUGUAAAAUUCUUUUACCAGGGACGAUAAUGACGGUACCUGGAGAAAAAGCCCCGGCUAACUUCGUGCCAGCCGCCGCGGUAAAAC
rnacentral:rRNA from 1 species